UUGUGCUUUGUUUCAGUCGUGAAUCGGACGAUCUGAUUCCCUCGGAUCUGAUAUUUUUGAAUAUUUUGGCGAGCACUCACAACUCUUCAGCAUUCCCUGCCGAAUCUGACAUCAACGUUGAUGCAGUCGAAUCAUCGACCUCCAUCAAUAACAGCCCCAACCAAUCUGUAGCUGAUACCGAAUCAAGUGAUAAUAAGCUUCCUCUGAGUUCUCGAAUAGUAUUCUUGAAAGGGAAGAAAGGAUUCAGGCCGCAUGCUCUGCAUAUAGUGACGAUAUCCAAUGGGAUUCAUUUUAUCAUCAUUUAUCAGAUAAAUAGUGAAAGCCUAUGCUCCAGUUUGUAUGAUGCAUUCCAUCACCUGACAAACUUUCAGAAGGCUUUGGAAUGUGAGACGGAUGCUGACUUAGAGAAGAAAGCAUUUGAAAGCCUGGAAUCGACAUUCAAGAGGAUAUUGGAUAGUUUGAAAAAGAAUAAAAAUAGUUUGAAGGAUGUUGAAGGAGCUGUGAA